UUGGAGGGCAAGUCUGGUGCCAGCAGCCGCGGUAAUUCCAGCUCCAAUAGCGUAUAUUAAAGUUGUUGCAGUUAAAAAGCUCGUAGUUGAAUUUCGGGGUCAGCAGGUUGGUCGUGCCUAUGGUAUGCACUGGCCUUGCUGAUUCCUCCCUCUUGAUGAGCCGUAAUGUCAUUAAUUUGGUGUUGCGGGGAAUCAGGACUGUUACUUUGAAAAAAUUAGAGUGUUUAAAGCAAGUUCACGCUUGAAUACAUUAGCAUGGAAUAAUGAAAUAGGACGUUUGAUUCUAUUUUGUUGGUUUCUAGGAUCGACGUAAUGAUUAAUAGGGAUAGUUGGGGGCAUUAGUAUUCAAUUGUCAGAGGUGAAAUUCUUGGAUUUAUUGAAGACUAGCUACUGCGAAAGCAUUUGCCAAGGAUGUUUUCAUUAAUCAAGAACGAAAGUUAGGGGAUCGAAGACGAUCAGAUACCGUCGUAGUCUUAACCAUAAACUAUGCCGACUAGGGAUCGGAUGAUGUUAAUUUUUUAAUGACUCAUUCGGCGCCUUACGGGAAAC
rnacentral:rRNA from 1 species